GUUGAGGGGAAUGCUAUCUGGCUCGAGGUCGCCUUCCUUCGUCGUCGGACCAGGCUUCAUUCCUCUCUAC
rnacentral:pre_miRNA from 1 species